UAUCCAUACUAUAUAUUGAUUAGCUGUGCUCACUGAUCCACUAAAGGAAAAAACAUUUUGUAACCCUUCUUACUCUCCUCCCUCUCCCCCUUUUAACUUUUUGUUGUUCAUGCAUUACCAUCACCAGCACCUACACAGUCCCUCCUGUUUGAUGAUCCGACUGGCAUUUCACCUGUGAGUUGUGCCUGAGCAAAUUUGUAGAGGCUGUAUUCUGCGUGGAGGAGAGGGAUGCAAGGCUGGCAUGGCUUCACUAAGAUGAGACAGCACAUUAACACAAGAACAGAUUAUUUUUACCCCAGACCGGUUCUGCAGUCCAGUUCACCAUGCAGCUGCACAAACAACUCUACUGGUGUUACAGAAGGGCUGCCACAAGGUGAGGAACAAGUGGCCAGGGCUGGUGACAGCUAAAACCAACCUCCCUGCCAAAAGAACUGAUUACAAAGCUACACCCUUAGAAACUUUAGCAGCACUGGCAACAAAAUGCCACCUCAAGUACUAUUUCUUGUGACUAAUCUUUAUCCCUGUGUUUCAGUAAGGGAAGAAAAAAAUCUGAGUUGCCAGACUUCUAAAUACUGGCAUUACACACAUUGAAACAUGAACAAGAGGUUGUUUGAAUUCUAAUAACUCAAAAAAGAACUAUGUUUUGCCAGACACAUCUUGUAAAACUCAGCAAGACUUAACUGCUAUUAAAGGAGCAAACACAUUUUGGAAAUUUCUUGUAUCUCUUUGCUUAAAUGAAAUAUACACCCUCCAGCAUAAAAAAAAAAAAAAAAAUUAAUUCAGAGUAACUUUCCACUUUAAAUAUUUUCCACAAAUCC